AUUGAACGCUGGCGGCAGGCUUAACACAUGCAAGUCGAGCGGGGAAAGGUAGCUUGCUACCUGACCUAGCGGCGGACGGGUGAGUAAUGCUUAGGAAUCUGCCUAUUAGUGGGGGACAACAUUCCGAAAGGAAUGCUAAUACCGCAUACGCCCUACGGGGGAAAGCAGGGGAUCUUCGGACCUUGCGCUAAUAGAUGAGCCUAAGUCAGAUUAGCUAGUUGGUGGGGUAGAGGCCUACCAAGGCGAUGAACUGUAGGGGGUCUGAGAGGAUGAUCCGCCACACUGGGACUGGGACACGGCCCAGGCUCCUACGGGAGGCAGCAGUGGGGAAUAUUGGACAAUGGGCGAAAGCCUGAUCCAGCCAUGCCGCGUGUGUGAAGAAGGCCUUUUGGUUGUAAAGCACUUUAAGCGAGGAGGAGGCUACUUGGAUUAAUACUCUAGGAUAGUGGACGUUACUCGCAGAAUAAGCACCGGCUAACUCCGUGCCAGCAGCCGCCGUAA
rnacentral:rRNA from 1 species